ensembl:lncRNA
CAGCAAUAUAUAUCAUACUGAUGCCAUGGAAUUUCAAAGUGAUUGUUGCGAAAAGGAUGUUGCAGCUUUGAAAAACACUAACUUUUGACCAGGUUGUGAAACUGAUGAGGCAAGGACUUGUAUCUCUCUCUCUCCUGCUUUCUCAAUGAAACCCCCCCCCACACACACACACACACACACACACAAACUGGUUUAAGUCAGCUCCCCAUCCCUGGUCUGUCCUCGGUAAGGGCCUGUCCCCUAGUCUGUCCACAGUAAGGUCUUCUCCCCAGGUCUGUCCAAAGUAAGGUCCUGUCCCCUAGUCUUUUUUUUUUUUUUACCUUUAUUUUACUAGGCAAGUCAGUUAAGAACAAAUUCUUAUUUUCAAUGACGGCCUAGGAACAAUGGGUUAACUGCCUGUUCAAGGGCAGCACGACAGAUUUGUACCUUGUCAGCUCGGGGGUUUCAACUUGCAACCUUCCAGUUACUAGUCCAACGCUCUAACCACUAGGCUACCCUGGCCAUAGUAAGGUCCUGUCCCCAGGUCUGUCCAUAGUAAGGUCUUCUCCCAAGGUCUGUCCAUAGUAAGAUCCUGUCCCCUGGUAUGUCCAUAGUAAGGUCCUUUCCCCUGGUAUGUCUAUAGUAAGGUCCUGUCCCCUGGUGUGUCCAUAGUAAGGUCUUCUUCCCAGGUCUGUCCAUAGUAAGACCCUGUUCCCUGGUAUGUCCAUAGUAAGGUCCUGUCCCCUGGUGUGUCCAUAGUAAGGUCCUGUCCCCUGGUCUGUCCAUAGUAAAGUCCUGUCCCCUGGUAUGUCCAUAGUAAGGCCCUGUCCCCUGGUGUGUCCAAAGUAAGGUCCUGUCACCUAGUCUGUCCACAGUAAGGUCCUGUC